rnacentral:tmRNA from 1 species
GGGGGCGACCGGUUUUGACAGCGAGAUGAAUGGUUAUGUAAGCAAGUCGAGCGUUGAGGUAUUGCUCGUUAAUAUCAUAUCUCAAACUAUAACUGGCGAAAAUAACUUCGCACUUGCAGCUUAAUCACUGCCAAGCAGGAUUAGCUUAAUCUAAGCCAUUAGAUGGCUAGACAAGUUGUCUUCAGACGGGAUGCGCCCAACGGCCUGUCUAAUGAAGGCAUCAGAUUCGAUGGGCUAGAACAAUGGAUGCUUGGGCCUGCGUUCGAAACUUUACAAGAUAAGCUAUAAAUGGGUUGUUUGUAACCGGUUUAUAGUCGAAAACUAAGAACAAACUAAACUUGUAGAAAGCUUAAUGAUUCCUUGUUUGGACGAGGGUUCGAAUCCCUCCGCCUCCACA